GGCAGAGAGAGCCCGACCUCCGUGACCCACGGUGCGUUCUGCGCGUCCGUGGGACAUGAGGAAAGUCCCCCCACCGUCCGAACAGGUGACCGGGCGCAAGCCCGGAGUCGGAGACGGCUGGCUCUGGAACAGAAACGAGACCCCUCGGUCCGACCGAUGAUGUGCGCGAACCCGACCGUAAGGAAGGGAAGUUGACCCACAGAGGAGAGACGACCGAGAACGGAUGGAACGGCGAAACCUCACCGGUGCAAGUCCGCGCCACGCGGCCGAUGCGGCGCGAUUCGUGCGUCGCCCGGCCGCACGGUAGUUCGGACGACGGACGCGGACGCUCAGCCGAAUGUCGGGACGAACAGAAGGGGGCUUACUCCUCUCAGCC
rnacentral:RNase_P_RNA from 2 species